CAAAAAUGCCACGAACAGGUACAAAAGUUGUAGAGGCUAUAUGUUUCAUUAAUGGUGGAAAAUAGUUUUAAAAUGAUUUAUGUUGGUCUAAUUUUUUUGCAUCACAAAAACCUGGCAUUUUAACAAGGGUGUAUAGACUUUUUAUAUCCA